rnacentral:lncRNA from 1 species
CAGGAAAAAAAUACUACCUUCGAGCUUUAACCAUAAAUACAACUCUGCAGCUAAAGUAAUUAUCAUUGUAAGAUGGAGAGCAGGCAUCGUUCUGACAUCAGAAAUUUCCAGCAUUGAUUGUGAGGCACAGGAGUGUAAGUGGUAUCUACUCUAAAGGCAGGCAGGAAAUAUUUCCAAUGUGAAGGAGCAAGGAGGGAGAAAGGGGAGAUUUGUGGCUACCAGGACGAGCUACUUGUGCACAAUGAAGAAGAGAAGGUGAGACCUAACAUCUCUCUGCGAUGACUGAUUUCAGUCAGAACUUCAUUGAGAACUCUUGGACAGAUGAAGGUCAUGAGGGGAGAGAUGGCAAGCAUAUUUUUAGAUGUCAUCAAUAAGUGACAUUGGCUGAAAAACUUCUGCACUGUGAAUCUGCAAGAAGCUGAUUUUUUCAGAUAGUCUUUCAUCUCCAAAUACUUGAAGCUAAAAUUUGGCAGACAUGGCAGUCUGCCCCAAAAUAUACUUUUUAA